AGAAAGGCUGGAGCCUGAUAUACAGAAAGAAUGUAGACUGGGGCAGUGAAAGUUUCUGCCUGCCCCAUUCUGCCAUAUGCCUCAACUCUGCCCUACAGGCAGCAGCUCUAGGAUGGAAAGAGGAGUUCAGGCUCCAUGGCCCAUUUAAUCUUAGGCCUCU
rnacentral:sRNA from 1 species